rnacentral:rRNA from 1 species
GAUGAACGCUGGCGGCGUGCUUAACACAUGCAAGUCGAACGGAAAGGCUCCUGCUUGCAGGGGUACUCGAGUGCGAACGGGUGAGUAACACGUGGGUGAUCUGCCCUGCACUUCGGGAUAAGCCUGGGAAACUGGGUCUAAUACCGGAUAGGACGAUGGUUUGGAUGCCAUUGUGGAAAGUUUUUCGGUGUGGGAUGAGCUCGCGGCCCAUCAGCUUGUUGGUGGGGUAAUGGCCUACCAAGGCGUCGACGGGUAGCCGGCCUGAGAGGGUGUACGGCCACAUUGGGACUGAGAUACGGCCCAGACUCCUACGGGAGGCAGCAGUGGGGAAUAUUGCACAAUGGGCGCAAGCCUGAUGCAGCGACGCCGCGUGGAGGAUGACGGCCUUCGGGUUGUAAACUCCUUUCGCUAGGGACGAAGCGCAAGUGACGGUACCUGGAGAAGAAGCACCGGCUAACUACGUG